rnacentral:lncRNA from 1 species
CUAGUCAGGCUCAUUAACCACUGAGCCACAGCAGGAACUCUGCUCCUAUUUCUCUGUACUAGGCUCUCAGGAAUGUUUGAAUCUUUGAUUUUGCACGUGUUGCCCUAUGUUUUCUCCACAAGGCGGUUCUUGGGGGCAGUGGGCGGUGGGCACCCCAAGUUCCCGCUUGUUCUGGGCUGUUUCGGUGGGUCGGGGGAGAGCCUCACACCUCCCUGGCCUCUUCUGCCCUGUUUUCCUCCUCAUUCUUUUCAGAGCUCCUGCCGCUGUAGCCACGGAGUCAUGGCAUUUCCUCCAGUGGACACUUGUCCUGGGACCAGAUUGAAGGCAUCUUUCGCUGCGCACGAGCUUUUCUAGAGCCAACGGGAGCUCCUCGUCUCAGUCCGAGGGAGGAGGGUCCCCCCCCGGCCCCACAAGGGCCAUCAAAUUCUCGGAUGUUCUUGGAAGCUUUGCGUCAUUUUAUCACUUACUCUGAGCCCAUCGAGAUGCCAGUUUCGCGUGCUCAUUCCCCGUACGCGGUCACGUAAUCUUCGCAACUGCCCACGAGUUAGGAACUGUGACGUCCACCUUAGAGAUGAGGAAACGGAGGCACAGAGAGGCUGAGUAAUUGGCCCAAGGUCACACAGCCGGCAAGUGAGAGAGCAGGGCUCAGCUGGCACGGACUUCUCCACCCCCUUGGCCUCAAGCGUGUCCUCGGUUUCGGACCUUCGGCCUCAGUGUUAGGUUCCUCGAAGUGCUUUCAUCUCCUGGCUCUGACUCCUUUCCGCGUCCUAAUCCUGCAGGUUUCCGGGUCUCCCUUUUCCUUUACAAGGAAACUGCAAGUCGGUGAGCCCAGCUUUCUCUGCUCACUGAUGUCGGCAAAAGCCAGGACCCUCCUGACCUCCAGGAGAAGCGGGAGUGUGGGUAUCUGACGGGUUCAUUUCCAGUCUUAGCUUCAUCAAUUCUUCCUACUCUCUUUUCGUCCUUAACUUGAGAAAAUCCUUUUGCAUUUUCCUAUUUUUUUUUUUCCUCUUUUUGGCUAUGCCCACAGGCCAGGGAUCGAACCCACACCACAGCAGCGACCUGAGCCACAUCAGUGACAACGCUGGAUCCUUAACCGGCUGAGCCACCAGGACACUCCUGUGUCUCCCUAUUCUACUCAAGGCCUUUAAGUC